UACGUAGGGUGCGAGCGUUGUCCGGAAUUAUUGGGCGUAAAGGGCUCGUAGGCGGUCUGUCGCGUCGGGAGUGAAAACUCAGGGCUUAACCCUGAGCCUGCUUCCGAUACGGGCAGACUAGAGGUAUGCAGGGGAGAACGGAAUUCCUGGUGUAGCGGUGAAAUGCGCAGAUAUCCGGAAGAACACCGGAGGCGAAGGCGGCUUGCUGGACCUGGUCUGACGCUGAGGCGCGAAAGCGUGGGGAGCGAACAGG
rnacentral:rRNA from 1 species